UUCUCAAAAUGGCCGCGCCCUUGAGGAACUUACUUAGAACUGCAAAAAUCAGCACAUGUAUCCAAGAUAGAUGGCAUUUUUCAGCAUUACUCAGGAGGGUUUAUCACAAUACAAUUUUAUCUGUUUUGAACGAUAAACAAGAUCCUGACGCUACGAUUACUGUUAAUGGAUGGGUGAAAAGCAUAAGAACACACAAAAAUCACAUUUUUUUCCACAUCAUUGAUGGAAGCAGCCCUCAACCUCUGCAAAUUGUUGCUUCACCUGAACUUAUAGCAAGAUCAGGGGAAGUGACCUAUGCAAGGCUGCAUAAUAUGGUCUCAAGGUCAUAUAGUUAAAAGUUUGGGAGAGGUCAGGCUGUGGAGCUCAUAGCAGACACCAUUAGAGCAGUGGAAA